UCGAAAUCGGUAGACGCUACGGACUU
rnacentral:tRNA from 1 species